rnacentral:tRNA from 1 species
UAUCGCCAAGCGGUAAGGCACUGGAUUUUGAUUCCAGUAUUCGCAGGUUCGAAUUCUGCUAAAGAA